UGGUUGGACACUGACAAGUGGUUUACCAGCUGUGGACUGCUAACUAUGCCGGAUGUGGGCCGCCAGUGGGCCACUACAUGGUUGCUAGCUGGAGGGAUAGUAUCUGGGUGACACUGGCCAAAGACAUUGAUAGUUCACCAUGGACUGCUGUUCAGGUCAGUUUGUCACAUAUCCUCGACUGAGGGAUGACCACAGAGACAUACUAGAGAGCUCAUCUAUCUAAACAGGCUUGGUUGAAAUGGCUGAUCAUCUUGUUGUGAUGUUAACAGUAACCAGCUGUAUUUGUCACAGUUUUCACAGAUUCCGUUAAGAUGUGACUCUGUACCACAGUACUACAGAUUCCGUUAAGAUGUGACUCUGUACCACAGUACUACAGAUUCCGUUAAGAUGUGACUCUGUACCACAGUACUACAGAUUCCGUUAAGAUGUGACUCUGUACCACAGUACUACAGAUUCCAUUAAGAUGUGACUCUGUACCACAGUACUACAGAUGGAUCUUAUAUUUUCUUGUAAAUUAAUUGUUGUUGAUCAUUUUGAUCGAGACAUAAAUAUUUUAAGAACUAUUUUAAAUAUAGACUUUAUUUUCCUUUUCUAGGUAAAGUCAAGAUCUAGUUAGCGUUUACUAAUUAAACAACAUCUCUCAUCCAUUUCCUUUCAAAAAGAAAUGAAAGAAUAUCCCUUUUUCAGUUUUGUUGUACAACCAUUAUACAUGAUGUAAUGGGGGAAGAAAUCACAAAACUGUUUAUGAAUUAAAAACACUAUUUUAUAUAUCCUGAAUGACACAUAUAUCUAUAGGAAUUCAUUAUAUUGUGGAUAGCAUAUUUUUUAGGAGGGUAACUGGAGUAGCGAGUUGUAGGCUGAAUAGAAACUAUUUAAGAUGCUUACAGGUAGGUACAGUAUAGAAAGAGCUCAUACUGCUGAGACAACUCACCAUGUCUGGGCGCGGUUACCAGAGAGGAAACUAACCGUCUUGUUGAGGAUUUACAUUUGAAUCAAAAGGCUUCGCCUCUCUUUAAGAUGUAAUGUUCCCCCUGAUCCCACCGUCAUGCUAGCAAGCCAAGGCUCUAUUAGAAACAUGUUGAAUGUGUGUCAUUUACUGCUUGUGCAUCCGUCCAUCCAUCCACGUGGAACGGGACAGGUCAAAGGGCAUGCUCCACUAGUAGAAUGGAAGCAUGCUGUUUUGACCUCUCACCUUUGACCUUUGACUCUUGACCUCCACAUUGACUGACAGCGUCCACUUUGAGCUGCAUAGGUUAUAACUUCCAUAUGAACCUUGAUAGACAGGACUUAACUAACCCAGAACAACAACCCUACAUUAGUUCGACGUCAACAACCCCCCCCCCCCCCCCCCCCAAGAGUAGCAAAUUCAGGAGCACCUUUCUUUUAAAGUCCUCUUCUUAAAAGACUGUUAGUAUAUUAAUACUCAUGAUUAUAAUGAUCAUUAUUAUGCAGACGUGUCGGAGACCACAUUUCUAGAGGAGAUCACUAUUUUGCACAUAAACCACUAUCUAGUUUGACAAUGACUGCUCUUACAAGAUAAAAGGCGCUGUCUAGAACCUUAAUUAAAGGGUUAUUCGGCUGUCUCCAUAGAAGAACCCUUUUGGGUUCAACGUAGAACUCUUUCAAUGGAGGGUUCUAAAUGGAACCAAAAAAAGGGUUCUGUCUAGAACCUUAAAGGGUUAUUCGGCUGUCUCUAUAGGAGAACCCUUUUGGGUUCCACGUAGAACUCUUUCAAUGGAGGGUUCUAUGGAACCAAAAAAAGGGUUCUGUCUGGAACCUAAAAGAGUUCUCCUAUGGGGACAGCCGAAUUAACCCCUUGUGGAAGCAUUUUUUCUAAGAAUAUACACAGAGGCGUUGAGAGGAAAGAGUUUUAAGAAGUUAUGUCUGGAUUUAAAAGAGAGCAUGAAUAUGACUGUCUGAAAUAGCACCCAUUUCCUUUAUAGUGCACUACGUUUGACCACUGAAGGCCACUGGUCUAAAGUAGUGCCCUUAUGUAGGGAAUAGGGUUCCAUUUGAGAAGGACACUAGGACUCGUUUUCAAGAGGACUCACUGGCCAGUGAGCAGGUGUCAGUUGGUUGAAUCAGACUAGGACUGGUUUUCAAGAGGCCUUACUGGCCAGUGAGCAGGUGUCAGUUGGUUGAAGCAGACUAGGACUGGUUUCCAAGAGGCCUUACUGGCCAGUGAGCAGGUGUCAGUUGGUUGAAUCAGACUAGGACUGGUUUUCAAGAGGCCUUACUGGCCAGUGAGCAGGUGUCAGUUGGUUGAAUCAGACUAGGACUGGUUUCCAAGAGGCCUUACUGGCCAGUGAGCAGGUGUCAGUUGGUUGAAUCAGACUAGGACUGGUUUUCAAGAGGCCUUACUGGCCAGUGAGCAGGUGUCAGUUGGUUGAAUCAGACUAGGACUGGUUUUCAAGAGGCCUUACUGGCCAGUGAGCAGGUGUCAGUUGGUUGAAUCAGACUAGGACUGGUUUUCAAGAGGCCUUACUGGCCAGUGAGCAGGUGUCAGUAGGUUGAAUCAGACUAGGACUCGUUUCCAAGAGGCCUUACUGGCCAGUGAGCUGGUGUCAGUUGGUUGAAUCAUGAACGUUUCUCUCCCUCUGUUUCUUCCAGUUCGGGUUCAGAUAAAUAUUGCACCGUUAUACUGUAGCAUUCCACAGUACGGUUCCAGAUCCCACAUGGAGCAAACACAGUCUUUUGAUAUAAAAUAUUCAGACAUAUUAUAUAAUCACUUUAUUGAGGUUUAACUGUUGUUGAACUGUCUUUUCCAACAGAAGUCGUUUUUCUGGUUUGAUUUGACCUUCCUAAAGCCACGUCGGAGAGAGAUUAUUGUUUACCUGGUAUGGAUAACAGAACACCGAGGAUGAGUAGUUGACUAUUGGUGAUGAAGAGGGGUUUGUGUGACUAUCAUAAGUCAUAAAUAGUUUGAGGGGUUGGUUAAUGUUGAGUUAAAGACGUUGUUUUAUUGGUCCGCGUCUCACUUUAAGGCAGUAGUAGAACGUUGUACCCAUCAGGUUUAAACAAGUCUGUAAUACAUUUAAAUACUUCAGUAAUACCCUAAAUCAUGAUUUAGUCAAUCAUGCACAGAAUCAGAAGACUGACUGGUGGAAGUGGAAGGAUAGACCACUUUUUGGCAAAGUCGUCUGUCCUUAUUGCAUUUAUAUGUGAAAGAACUAUUCACGAGACACAACAAAAGUAGUUUUUUUGUGAUAUUAGUAGUGGCACUACUGUUAAAUGUAGUAUUUUAAGAAGAACAGCACUAUUUAUGGUCAUUAAAAUGAACUAGAAUGUGUAUUGUGCAUUAUGGUAGCUUUGGAGGCAGCCAUCUUGUUUUGUAUCAAUUUCCUCAUGCUCAGAGACAGUCACUCACUUCAUGUAAGGGGUUCAACUCGUUGUUGAGUGGACUUGCCCAAAUCCGAGCCCCCUUUUCUCCUUUGAAUGACAAGUCUGCACGGUCUCACCAACAGACAUUACCACCCAUUCCCUCAAAUCUUACUUUUUUAUUUUCUAUAAAAGAAAAACAAUUCUAAUACUUUAUUUUUAAUUUCUUGUUUCAUUCUUUCAUUUAAACCAAUUUUUAAAGAGAAAGAAUACAAUAAAUACAAAUCUGAAUAUUCAAUCACUUUUUCUACUUCUAUUUUCAAAAUAACUGAAAAAAAAAACCGAAAUAAAAAGUUGAUUUGUAUAUAAGUGAUGUACAGUUUGUAUCUGUUAAUGUCAGUCUGUCUUUGGUGACAGAGUCUGUCUUGCUUAUAACGCACGCUACCAGUAAAUAAAAUAAAAAUAUAUUUAGACUGUACGGUCCUUGAAAGCAAGUUUUAAAUUAAUCUGAUGUAUAUUCCUGUAACAUUGCAUUUUUAUCUGAGGAAUUAUGUUAUUAAAAAAUUGCUAAUAAAUUGCAUUUCCUACAG